UACGUAGGUCCCGAGCGUUAUCCGGAUUUAUUGGGCGUAAAGCGAGCGCAGGCGGUUAGAUAAGUUUGAAGUUAAAGGCCGUGGCUUAACCCUAGUAUGCUUUGGAAACUGUUUAACUUGAGUGUAGAAGGGGAGAGUGGAAUUCCAUGUGUAGCGGUGAAAUGCGUAGAUAUAUGGAGGAACACCGGUGGCGAAAGCGGCUCGCUGGUCUGUAACUGACGCUGAGGCUCGAAAGCGUGGGGAGCAAACAGG
rnacentral:rRNA from 1 species